AUAUUUGUCAAGUCUCGGAGGUUGCUCCAAGAAAGACUGGAUUGGAGAAUCAUGAGCUCAUGUAUAACAAAUUUACUCUCCCGCUCUUUCAACUGUGCAGGACGCGGUGGAUAAGAAGGAGUGAGUGGGACGCCCUUAGUUUCUGCUAUUAAAGCUCUGGAUGAUCUGGCAACGAACUCCGAUUAAUUUUAUUACAUGUGUACAUAUUUGUAAAAUAAAGACAUUUUGUUA